AUGCAGAUGAACCCUAACAAGCAUCAAAGAUCACUUGGCCCCACUCAUUCAGCCAGUUUAUUCAAAUGCCAGAAUAUUUGUUUUUUGUUUUUUCGGUACUGGGGAUCGUACUUGGGACCUUGCACCUGUGACGCAGGCGGCGGAACCACUGAGCUAAACCCUCGGCUUUUUCCCUUUAUUUCUACCACAGCCCUCAGGGUGAAGCCCCAUCUUGCUCACCUCUUCUACUUUGGCAGCCUUCUAACCAGUACUCUGUUUUAAUUUUUUGUUGCCAUCUAACCAUUCUCCACACAGCAGUCAAAUAUGUUUUCAAAACAAAAAUUUAAUUUUGAUGUUUCUUUUCUUAAUAAUCCUUCAGUGGUCUUUUGUGCACUCCCAAAUAAAAGCGCUUAUGUCCCUUAUGUGGUCUACAAGGCCCAGUGUGAUGGAAUCUCUCCACCUCUUACAGCUGCUAAGACCACUCCCUGGGCUCCAUCACACAAGCCUUGCUAGAGUCUGGGUGUUGAGUGUGUGCUGAAGGCCCAUGUGUAAAGAUGUGUUCUCCAAGUGGACUGCUUCAAGUGACAAGGCCCAGUGGGAUGUCUGUAACUGGGGUUUGCCUUUGGAGGAGUUUGUGAGACCUAUUUCCCUUCCCUUUGCUCCCUUCUGGAUCCUGGCCAAGAGGGGAGGGUUCCGGUCUACUGUACCCCGACACAUUGUGCUGCCUUGACACAGAUCCACAGCAAGGGGGCCGAUGGCUCAUGGACAGAACCUCCACAAGGCCCGGAGCCAGAUAUCUCAGCCAUUUCAUUGCAGGGAUGCACCUUGGAGCCUUGGUGUGCAUGAUGCCCACAAUUUCCUACCCACCCCUUGGCCAGGAUGGCUCCUUCCACUGCCCGGCCACUGCCCCGCCACUGCCCCAGAAGCUUCCUGAACUGUUAUCUCGGACUAUGUUUUGCUCUUCCAUAGCCUCCCUUUUCCUUCACAACAUUUA
rnacentral:lncRNA from 1 species